GUGCCAGCAGCCGCGGUAAUACGUAGGUGGCAAGCGUUGUCCGGAAUUAUUGGGCGUAAAGCGCGCGCAGGCGGUCCUUUAAGUCUGAUGUGAAAGCCCACGGCUCAACCGUGGAGGGUCAUUGGAAACUGGGGGACUUGAGUGCAGAAGAGGAAAGCGGAAUUCCACGUGUAGCGGUGAAAUGCGUAGAGAUGUGGAGGAACACCAGUGGCGAAGGCGGCUUUCUGGUCUGUAACUGACGCUGAGGCGCGAAAGCGUGGGGA
rnacentral:rRNA from 1 species